UGUGACCAUACCAAACUGUUGCCUCGGCGGGGUCACGCCCCGGGUGCGUCGCAGCCCCGGAACCAGGCGCCCGCCGGAGGGACCAACCAAACUCUUUUCUGUAGUCCCCUCGCGGACGUUAUUUCUUACAGCUCUGAGCAAAAAUUCAAAAUGAAUCAAAACUUUCAACAACGGAUCUCUUGGUUCUGGCAUCGAUGAAGAACGCAGCGAAAUGCGAUAAGUAAUGUGAAUUGCAGAAUUCAGUGAAUCAUCGAAUCUUUGAACGCACAUUGCGCCCGCCAGUAUUCUGGCGGGCAUGCCUGUCCGAGCGUCAUUUCAACCCUCGAACCCCUCCGGGGGGUCGGCGUUGGGGACCUCGGGAGCCCCUAAGACGGGAUCCCGGCCCCGAAAUACAGUGGCGGUCUCGCCGCAGCCUCUCCUGCGCAGUAGUUUGCACAACUCGCACCGGGAGCGCGGCGCGUCCACGUCCGUAAAACACCCAACUUCUGAAAUGUUGACCUCGGAUCAGGUAGGAAUACCCGCUGAACUUAAGCAUAUC
rnacentral:rRNA from 1 species